rnacentral:lncRNA from 1 species
AAUAACUCUAAAUAUCAAAAAUAAAACCGAAAUGUAAAUUAAAUAAUAUUCUACACAGCAAUAUUGACUCUAAUAAUCGAGAAACCAACUCAUGGAACUAAAUAAGUGAGAAAGUGUAAAAAUAUAUGUAUUAUUAUUUAAAAAAAAAACACAUUUUCAUUUAAAGCAAAUCGCUCGGUUGUGAUUGAUAAAUACGUGUCUCAAACGCAUCUGAUUAACAGGAUUUAUAGAAGAAAUUUUCAAUAAAAUAUUUCUAAUUAUGUGUAAAUAUCUCAUAACUAAAACUAUUUAGUGCAUUUUAAGUAAAUAAAUUUUAGCGUCAAUCAUAAAUUAAAUCGAUCAUUAAAUUAAAAACGAAAACAUUGUAAACGCCCAACUGAAGUGUGCAGAAAAUACUUGCUCGUAAAAUUUGAACAAAAACACUAGUAAAGUUAUAUAUAUGAUAUAAAAAGCUAUUGGUAUUUGAGCGGAUGUAUGAAAUAGAGGCGGAUCGCAGCUAUAAAACACUGCUACUACAAAUAAAUAAAUACCAAAAAGUAAAAGAAAAUUGCCAUAAAAACAUUCUAGUGCAAAUAAUUAGCUCGCCAUUCAAUUUUCAAUUUUGCUUUGUACAACAAACUACCGAUUAGUAUGGCAAUUGAUGAGCCGAAAAUUCAAAAUUUUUAAUAAAAAUAUCAAAAGCAACGUAUGCAACACAAAUUACCGUAAUAAGGAAAUACUAUAACAUUGUCGUUUAACAUAUUUACGAAACUGUUCGCAUGUCUGUGUGCGUGGGUUUUGAAGCCUCUAGUUAAUUUCUGUUAAUUACCACUGGAAACUUUUAUAUCUGUAUUUUACAAUGGAUAGACUUCAUAUCUGACUUCAUAUCCACUAGUUUUGCCACUCUAAAACUCUGUAACCUCCCGACGUCUAAUUUAAUAAAAAUAACCACUGAAAUUUUAAAUCCUGCAUAAACAGUACAGCUGCUAAUGAGAAUAACGGGAAAGGCGAUAACUCAUAUUAAAGCUUGUGAAAUUAAUAAAAAUAUAUUAGACUUUGUGUACCGAAGUUAACAAUGACUCCAAAGAAUCUUGACGUGAUAAUCAGCUGAAACGUAUUGAGUGAUAUCGUAUGUACGUAUGUAUGUAUAAACGAUAUUCACGAACAAGAACAAAUUUGAACGAGGCACGGAUUUUCCUCUGAGACAACUAAACUAACUGAGUAGUUAAAGCAACAGUUGCUCUCUUUGGCAUCAGUGGUGAGUUUAGAACUGACAGCAAAACUAUUUAUUACGGUACUCAAUGACAAACUGCGGAUAUUCUACUAGCGAGUAAUAGCGCAAUCAGCAUUUGAACACACCUCUCAUCCGUGCCUUACGACUUUAAGAGGGAAACAUGGCCAAAAGUUAUGCUCGCAGCUUACCAGUGCGAUAUUAGCUGUGCUUUCGCCAGUUGUCAGUCCAGACUACCGAUCUGAUCACGCCUUGGAAGGUAUGCAUGUAGAGGAGUCUAUAGGAACAGACAAUGAAAAGCAGUCAAAAUUUUGGGCACCUGGUAGUGGGAUUUCUUCGAGAUAUUUCCAGAAAAUCUUGUAUAAAAUUAUUAGUAUAUAAGAAAUACAAAAAAAGUAAAAAAUAAAAAAUUCCACAAAAAUAUGCAACAUUUUUUUUUGUCACUUGAGGGGCAAUAUUCGAGCUUUUGAACACUUUAGAGUUAAAAACGCUUACUUCAGCAUGGACCUCACUAGGGAAAAUGCUUUCGAAUUUUUUUUUUAAGAAUUUUUAAGUCCAUUGAAAAAGCAGC